UGCGCAGGCGGACUUUUAAGUCAGUGGUGAAAUCCCGGGGCUCAACCCCGGAACUGCCAUUGAUACUGGAAGUCUUGAAUUUGGUUGAAGUGGGCGGAAUGUAGCAUGUAGCGGUGAAAUGCUUAGAUAUGCUACAGAACACCGAUCGCGAAGGCAGCUCACUAAGCCAAUAUUGACGCUCAGGCACGAAAGCGUGGGGAGCGAACA
rnacentral:rRNA from 1 species